UCCUCCUUAGCUCAGUUGGCUAGAGCGUCUGACUGUUACUAGACUCCCUCAAACGGGGUUGAACACAAAAUCAGGAGGUCCACAGUUCAAACCUGUGAGGGGGAG